rnacentral:rRNA from 1 species
CACCAGCCCCUCGAGUGGUGGGGAUGAUUAUUUGGUCUAAAGCGUCCGUAGCCGGCCGGGUAAGUUUCCCGUUAAAUCCAACGUCUCAAGCGUUGGACUGCGGGAAAUACUGCCUGGCUAGAGAGUGGGAGAGGUCAGCGGUAUUCUGGGGGUAGGGGCGAAAUCCUUUGAUCCCCGGAGGACCACCAGUGGCGAAGGCUGCUGACUAGAACACGUCUGACGGUCAGGGACGAAAGCUGGGGUAGCGAACCGGAUUAGAUACCCGGGUAGUCCCAGCCGUAAACGAUGCAUGCUAGGUGUUGGGUUGGCCACGAGCCACCCCAGUGCCGCAGGGAAGCCGUUAAGCAUGCCGCCUGGGAAGUACGAUCGCAAGAUUGAAACUUAAAGGAAUUGGCGGGGAGCACCACCAGGCGUGAAGCCUGCGGUUU